UAUGCUUUGGGGAGCUGUAAGUAAGCUUUGAUCCAGAGAUUUCCGAAUGGGGAAACCCAGCACGAGUUAUGUCGUGUUAUCUGCAUGUGAAUACAUAGCAUGCAAGAAGGCAGACCCGGAGAACUGAAACAUCUUAGUACCCGGAGGAAGAGAAAGAAAAAUCGAUUCCCUGAGUAGCGGCGAGCGAAACGGGAAGAGCCCAAACCAAUAAGCUUGCUUAUUGGGGUUGUAGGACACUCUGUACGGAGUUACAAAAGAAUUUGUUAGACGAAUAACCUGGAAAGGUUAAUCA
rnacentral:rRNA from 1 species